UACGUAGGCAGCGAGCGUUGUUCGGAGUUACUGGGCGUAAAGCGUGCGUAGGCGGUGUCUUAAGUUUGUUGUGAAAUCUCCCGGCUCAACCGGGAGGGUGCGCCGAAUACUGAGUGGCUAGAGUGCGGGAGAGGAAAGUGGAAUUCCUGGUGUAGCGGUGAAAUGCGUAGAUAUCAGGAGGAACACCGGUGGUGUAGACGGCUUUCUGGACCGUAACUGACGCUGAGACACGAAAGCGUGGGUAGCAAACAGG
rnacentral:rRNA from 1 species